rnacentral:rRNA from 1 species
CCCUUAGAUGUUCUGGGCCGCACGCGCGCUACACUGUUCGACGCAGCGAGUCUUAACCUUGACCGAAAGGUUUGGGUAAUCUUCAGCAAAGUCGAACGUGAUGGGGAUCGAUCAUUGCAAUUAUUGAUCGUGAACGAGGAAUUCCUAGUAAGCGCGAGUCAUCAGCUCGUGCUGAUUACGUCCCUGCCCUUUGUACACACCGCCCGUCGCUCCUACCGAUUGAGUGUUCCGGUGAAUAAUUCGGACUGCGGCUGAUUGGGGACUCUUCAGUCGGCUGUGGAAAGUCUAGUGAACCUUAACACUUAGAGGAAGGAGAAGUCGUAACA